UGGCAAGAGGGCGAGCGGCGAGCAGCUCCACUUUGCUCCCGGCGGGGGAGGAAAAUGCCGUGUCUAUGGGAAAUAAUUGUGAAAAACACAACGGGGCAACCCACCCGAAAGAACCUGAAUGGAUGGGGCCAGUAAGACGUCACGGUGAGCUGCAGCCAUGAAGCGAAGGAUCAGGAGCAAGGCAUCAUUUGGAGACCCAGUCCUGUCGCGCAGAUUGACUAAUUCUCUUGAUUGUUGUGGAGCGCGCGGGUGUCUGUGAUUCCAAAACGAAGGUGAUCUUGGCCAACACCAGAGGAAUCAGACGGCAUUUAGGCAAGAGUUUGACAAGUCUGCUUCCCUGGAGGUGUGGUCAUGGGUUGCCUAGGGGUUGGCUGUUAUCUUUGGUUAUCUAGCUGUAUGAGUGAUGUACAUUCUUCAUAAAGCUAGAUAACCGAAAGUAACAAGAAUCCCAUUACACUCCUGAAAGGCGUCCCCCAUUCACAUGUGAAUUCAAGAAGACACACAUGGAGGAAACCUUACAAUUUCAAAAUGGGCGCCACCAUCAGUCGUUCAGAGAUGCCAGUGGGAGAGUGAGAGAGUGUGGUUCUUGGGAGGAGGGGCUGGUCCACCAUCACUACCACCCACCCACCUCCUCCUCCAGCCUCCCUCCAUCACUGCUCGCAUGUGUAGCCUGUCCCCCAACCCCUCCCUCCGCCUCUGCCUGCCUGCCUGCCCUCUCCUGCGUAUCACAAGAUGCAGCCUGCGCCACCAUCUUAUGAGAAUGCCUGGCAUAAAAUGGAAGUGGGGGGAAAACACGAAAGGAGGUAAAACACUGCAAAAAAAGAGGACAGAUUGAUCAGAAAACGAAAACUGACCGACUCUCCCCGACAGACACAAAUAUGGCCACAAGCACUUACACAAUGGAACGCACGUUAUCUAUCGUCUACUCAUUUUGUGCCCCAACACCCGAUCCCAAAAGCACUUUACAUGUUGCAUCGUCUGUUUACGUUUCACGUGCUCUUUGGUGGCAGUCGGCCAUUUAUGUCUGAUGAGAGGACACUACAUAACGCUGUGAUUGCCUUCGCUGUCUUCCAGUGGAGGUAUAGAACCGCUCCGGGCUCGUAAACCUGUUCCAGUCUGUCUGGUGCUUCUGUGCGGCUGUGGCAUCGCCGACUGAGCCUCAGAAGAUAGGACACACACCUGGAGUACAUCUGUCUGUCUCACCAGUAGACUCUGCAGAACAACACACAGCACUAUCACAGCUGUUUACAAUCUAUACGAGAGACUUGUGCAAUGCAUUAAUUGCAUAUGUAUAUUCUGAAACUUUUUUUUUUUUUUUUAAAUGUAUGUGGAAUUGCUUAAGAUGAGCGAUUGUUUUUAAUAUGCACUAAAUGUACAGUAUAGCAGGGUAUUUGUUGUUUGCUAACCUACACUAAUAGGAAUGUUUGUUUUGCUUAAUUCAUAUAUAGGGUACUUUAAUCAUGUUAACCUGAAGGAUUUGGUAGUGUAUACCAUGUAGACAGCUGGUAUAGUGGACCUCCUUUUUUAUUACUUUUUUUUUUUGUAGAAAUAAUUUAGUGCUGAGCAUGUGUUUGAAUGUGUGUAAGACCCACGGCAGCAGUGAAGCCAACUGCACUGUGAUUGGACAGCUCCAUGUGUGGACACACACGCUGGUGAAGGAGAGAGCUGUUGUCUUUAUUCUCUAUGCAACUCCACAGGGCUCGCAAUCAACUGGAACAUGCACCUUUUGCACUAGCAAAUACUGAAAAGUCUAUCCUCUUAUGCAUGCUUUGAUGGAAAUAGUGUGUGUGUGUGUGUGUGUGUGUGUGUGUGUGUGUGUGUGUGUGUGUGUGUGUGUGUGUGUGUGUGUGUGUGUGUGUGCAUGAACCAGCAAUGUUUUUCUCAAUUUUAUGUUUCCAUCUCGGGUAGUGGCAAAUUUUUAUUUAAUCAAUCAUGAUUUGAUCUAUGCAAUUAUAAUCUAUCCAUUUGUGCAUUUAAUGUUUUAAUGGGACUAUCAAGACUUUUGGGGACAUUGUCUAUUGUCCUUGUCAAUCUUUUUUUUUCAUGGCAAUCAAAAUAAACAAUCUUUUUGACAACUGUCAAGUAAAUCAUCUUUGUAUGUAUGCAAGCCACAUUUUGUGGUCUCAGUUGGUUGCAGUCCCUCUGAAUUAUAUAUGAAAAUAAUCUAUGCAAAAUGUAUGCAAAAAUUGUACUGUUAUAAAAUGUUACUGUGAAUUUGCACUAGCUCUGUGUUUACCAUAAUGUGCCUUUGACUAACAGUGUCCUGUUAUGGAUUAAAAAAUAAACGUUUACAUUGAAAACAAACACA